rnacentral:rRNA from 1 species
UACGAAGGGGGCUAGCGUUGCUCGGAAUUACUGGGCGUAAAGGGCGCGUAGGCGGACAGUUAAGUCAGAGGUGAAAGCCCAGGGCUCAACUCUGGAAUAGCCUUUGAUACUGGCUGUCUUGAGUGCGGGAGAGGUGUGUGGAACUCCGAGUGUAGAGGUGAAAUUCGUAGAUAUUCGGAAGAACACCAGUGGCGAAGGCGAGUCCCUGGACAUCUCCUGACACUGAGGCACGAAAGCUAGGGGAGCAAACAGG